GGGCUGCAGUGGGGAAUAUUGCACAAUGGAGGAAACUCUGAUGCAGCCAUGCCGCGUGUGUGAAGAAGGCUUUCGGGUUGUAAAGCACUUUCAGCGAGGAGGAAAGGGUAGCGGUUAAUAACCGUUAUCUGUGACGUUACUCGCAGAAGAAGCACCGGCUAACUCCGUGCCAGCAGCCGCGGUAAUACGGAGGGUGCGAGCGUUAAUCGGAAUUACUGGGCGUAAAGCGCGCGUAGGCGGUUAAUUAAGUCAGAUGUGAAAGCCCAGGGCUCAACCUUGGAACUGCAUUUGAAACUGGUUAACUAGAGUUUUGUAGAGGGUGGUAGAAUUUCAGGUGUAGCGGUGAAAUGCGUAGAGAUCUGAAGGAAUACCAGUGGCGAAGGCGGCCACCUGGACAAUAACUGACGCUGAGGCGCGAAGGCGUGGGGAGCAAACGGGAUUAGAUACCCCGGUAGUC
rnacentral:rRNA from 1 species